rnacentral:tRNA from 2 species
GGAGCUGUAGCUCAGCUUGGUUAGAGCGCCUGCCUGUCACGCAGGAGGUCGCGGGUUCGAGUCCCGUCAGCUCCGCAA